UGCUGGUUACCCGUUAUUGAUGUCCAGGACUCCUUGCCAAACCAGCCCUAGCAUGGCGUAAUGGUGUUGGUGGUGGGAGAUUAAUGGAACCCCAUGGAACCAAAGACAAUCUGUUUAUAUUUUUAAUUGCCCGGAGCUAAAGGCUGCACAAGCCAGCAGGUGGUGGAGUGGAAGCAUGGGUCUCUGAAAAUAAGUAUGAGAACUAGUAUGUGUGUGUGUGAGUGUAUGUGUGUUAAGAACCCUUUAGCCCGCUAUGGGGCCCAUGCAAUAAGACAAGCUACUUAUAAAAACUGUUUUAACGAGGGGAGGUUCAUGGUUCACCCUGAAAUACAAUUUUCUGAACAGAUAAAUUAUAGCACUUACCUGGUGAUAAACUAUUGUUUUGACCUGAACUUCAUACUACAUGAGUAACAACAAAUAAAGUUUUUUUGAAUUUGAAUUUGAAGUAAUUGCUUUCCAGAAGACUCAUCUCAAUACUUUCUAUUUAUUUAUUUAUUGAUAUAUUUUCCCUACACUUCUUCUCAAUUGACACUAUUACUUUUUUUAUUUAUUGUUUCAUAGUUAUCAGGUUCUUUCCAAAUAUCCAUCGAUUUUACUUAAUGUAUAAAUGCAUUUCAGUCCUAUUUCUUCUGGCAAAAAACAUUUCUAGGUAGCCGAUUCCAAAUUGAUCAUCCCAUGAAUAAUAAUGUAAACAGCAGAACCAGAUGGGCCUCGCCUUCACUUACAGCUAUGGACAACUUCACACAAACACUAUCCACUAAGAUUUGGCAUCUGUACUUUAAAUGACCAGGGUGAACUCUGACAAAACAACCUUUUACGAGGAUUGGCUCCAACCACACCAUUUAUAUUAUUCCACUCAUCUGGAUUAAUCUCGAUUUCCUUUCCUCCCUUCCUACCUUCCUCCUCACACACAGUUCACCGUGGUGAACAUCAAAGUCAGACAUGGGCUUCCCUUCGCCAGAAGCACUUUGGAGACUUUGGAGAUCAGAGAUCAAUGUAUCAUAUGCCUGAAGCACAGGAUGUGAUCAACAGAGCAGAACCGAUGUCAUUCACAGAGCUGCCUGCAAAAGCACUGCACCUGUCUUGGACCGGGCAAUGGAAAAAAGAAGCUCACCCUCGUAAUGGAAACACACCCAUCGCAUCAUUAUCCUAGUUGGUGAAAGAGGGAGCGACAGAGAGAGGAGAGAGAGAAAGAGAGUGUGAGAGAGAGAGAGAGAGAGAGAGAGAGAGAGAGAGAGAGAGAGAGAGGAGAGAGAAAAAGACAGAGAGGGAAGGAAAAGAAUGAUGUAAGAGAGAAGAGGAUGGGCAGAAUAUGGCAAACAAGAUAUUUAUGCCGACAGCAAAGGGGAACACAUUACGAACACGUUACACAAAAGUUGAAAAAGAGAAAGAGGGUGGUUGCAAAGAAAAAAAUGAGGUUUCGGAAUGAGACAGGUAGACAUAGCAGGAUGAGGGGCGUGUUUUAGGCGCUGGAGAAAUAGGAUACGAGUUUAGGUUUUGGGUGAAGCUGGAACUCCGGAACCGCCAUAACAUCUCUCUUGGCGUGCGCCAAGUGUUCCUGUGUUCAACCUCUCCUGGCCCGAUGUUUAAAGCAGAGACAGUUCCUCCCGAGGGUCCAGGGGACGCAAAGAAAACAGAAAAAUGGCCGCCACACCCUGUCAAGCUUGUCGCCAGAGGUGAGACGUCAAACGUGGUGACAGGGCCCACCUGGAUGCGGGGAGGAACCUUCUGCAGACUCUGGUGCUGCACGGUCAGCAGCGGCCCUGACCGUUAAAGCCUCUUCCCUCUUCCUGCCGCCAUGCCAGGAAUGUACCCGGUACCAUGCCCAGGAUCAUUCAUCAACCUGUCCAAAUAGCCCGCCAUUGUCCCGCCACCGACACUUCACCAAGCAAAACACCACAAUCUCAACAGAAAGACAUCUGAUGUGCCACGUCAGCUAUGAGUACCGCCGCCAGCUGGCCAAGAAAUGAGCUCUCAAGGUGAUUUUAUGGGACUGGUUGAAGUAAUUGGUUGAAGAAAAAAUGUAACUUAAUUCAUUAAAAAGCAUUGAUUGAAUGUGCUGGAAACCAUCAGCUUCUAAUUACUCACUUAUCUUCCUUUUAGAUUAUAUGAAAGACAGACAAAGAUGGAAUGAAGGAAAAUGCAGAGCCUAACCUUUUAAGUGUUAUGAACCUCAAAAAGAAAAGGAUGGCAAAGCUAGAAAACACAAGUCUGUA
ensembl:lncRNA